AUUGAAUGCUGACAGCGUGGAUGAGGCAUGCAAGUCGAACGAAGUAACGAGCUUGCUCGUUACUUAGUGGCAGAAGGGUUAGUAAUACAUAGGUAAUCUACCUUCAACUUGGGAAUAACGACUGGAAACGGUCGCUAAUACCGAAUGUGGUGCAUUUCAGGCAUCUAAGAUGCAUUAAAGCGGGGGACCGAAAGGCCUCGCGGUUGAUGAAGAGCCUAUGGGAUAUCAGCUUGUUGGUGAGGUAAAAGCUCACCAAGGCUAUGACGUCUAGGCAGAUUGAGAGAUUGACCGCCAACAUUGGGACUGAGAUACUGCCCAGACUCCUACGGGAGGCUGCAGUCGAGAAGCUUUCGCAAUGGGCGAAAGCCUGACGAAGCGACGCCGUGUGUGCGAUGAAGGCCUUCGGGUUGUAAAGCACUUUCGCUUGGGAACAAGAGAGGUUGGCUAAUACCCAGCCGAUUUGAGGGUACCAGGUAAAGAAGCACCGGCUAACUACGUGCCAGCCGCCGCAGUAA
rnacentral:rRNA from 1 species